UUUCACCUGCAGUUGAAGAUCCGUGAGGUGCCCAGAAGAUCAUGCAGUCAUCAGUCCCACGGAGCAGCCCGCGAGGCUGAGGCUCCUCCCACUGGACCGCCCCCCAACUGGCACCACUGCUGCCCCUGCCCCUACUCUCAGCCUCACGUGACUCUCGGGCACAGGCAGUGGUGGGGCGGCCAGGGCAGCGUCAAGAGUCUGAGCCAGUUGCAGGACAAAUUCGAGCAUCUUAAAAUGAUUCAACAGGAGGAGAUAAGGAGGCUCGAGGAAGAGAAAAAACAACUGGAAGGAGAAAUCAUAGAUUUUUAUAAAAUGAAAGCUGCCUCUGAAGCACUGCAGACUCAGC
rnacentral:lncRNA from 1 species